GCCGGGCUCCGGCGUGGCGCUAACCUUGCGCACGGUGAAGUUCUUCGUCGCCGUAUCCACGGUGAGAAUGAAAGCCGGCGCAGCGGCAUUCUGUUGGAGCACAGCGACAAACUGCGCAGCGGCCGGGGGCGGUGGCGCCACUUGAUCUGCGGCUUGACCCGCAAUUGCUCCGGCAGGAGUUCAGGGCGAUUGGCUUGAAGCGCAAUCACACCAGCGAGCGAUGCCGCGACCGCCGUCAUGACCCAGCCGAAGGCCGAUCCGCCGCGCUGGCGAGCGGGCAAUGAAACGACAUUCGACGGCGGGACCACGACCGGCUCCGGCACGAUCUCGGGUGACGCCGCAGCCUGAGGCGUUUCCGCUGGUGUAUCGGUUGAUCCAGCAGCGGCGACGGUUUGCUCGGUUUGCU
rnacentral:misc_RNA from 1 species